ACAUACGCGUAGAGUUUGAUCAUGGCUCAGGACGAACGCUGGCGGCGUGGAUUAGGCAUGCAAGUCGCACGACGGCCUUCGGGUACGGAGUGGCGAACGGGUGAGUAACACGUGAGGAAUCUACCCUUUUGUUCCGGAUAAUUGACCGAAAGGUCUUGUAAUACGGGGGCAGGUUUGGGAGUUGGCAUCUUUUCCCAAAGCGAACGCGCAAGCGGCACAAGGAUGAUCUCGCGGCCUAUCAGGUAGUUGGUGAGGUAAUGGCUCACCAAGCCGACGACGGGUAGCUGGUCUGAGAGGAUGGUCAGCCACAUUGGGAACUGAGACACUGCCCAGACUCCUACGGGAGGCUGCAGU
rnacentral:rRNA from 1 species